ensembl:lncRNA
GUAGGUAUCACAGUAAAGCGAUUCACACAAACUUACUGGCUUGCUAGUGCAUAUAAAAGUUAUGUUUACCCUAUACCAAAGUCUAUUAAGUGUGUGAUAUUAUCUCUAAAACGACAAUAUACAUACCUUAAGUCUAAAAUACUUUUAUUUUUUAAAAUACCAUUUUCUGAUGGUGCAGGAUUGCCUCCAAUCUUCUAUCUAAAAAUGCAGUAUCUGAAACUCAAAGCACAAUAAAUGCCUGAAAGUCAUGAAAUCAAGCAUACUCUCAAUAAGGGGGACUAUGUCUCAGUUCCUGGAGAGGGGAGUAUCUACAUAUAUUAAGCAGGUAUCCAGUUUUCCCAGCACCAUUUCUGAAGACUUUACUGAAUUACUUAAACACUUUGCUGAAAACUGAAUUUGCAUUUAUACUCUCAUACAGACUCAAAACAACAGCAUAGAAAGAAUGCAAGGGA